GACGAACGCUGGCGGCGUGCCUAAUACAUGCAAGUUGAGCGCUGAAGGUUGGUACUUGUACCAACUGGAUGAGCAGCGAACGGGUGAGAACGCGUGGGGAAUCUGCCUUUGAGCGGGGGACAACAUUUGGAAACGAAUGCUAAUACCGCAUAAAAACUUUAAACACAAGUUUUAAGUUUGAAAGAUGCAAUUGCAUCACUCAAAGAUGAUCCCGCGUUGUAUUAGCUAGUUGGUGAGGUAAAGGCUCACCAAGGCGAUGAUACAUAGCCGACCUGAGAGGGUGAUCGGCCACAUUGGGACUGAGACACGGCCCAAACUCCUACGGGAGGCAGCAGUAGGGAAUCUUCGGCAAUGGACGAAAGUCUGACCGAGCAACGCCGCGUGAGUGAAGAAGGUUUUCGGAUCGUAAAACUCUGUUGGUAGAGAAGAACGUUGGUGAGAGUGGAAAGCUCAUCAAGUGACGGUAACUACCCAGAAAGGGACGGCUAACUACGUG
rnacentral:rRNA from 1 species